CAGCCGCCGCGGUAAUACGAAGGGGGCUAGCGUUGCUCGGAAUGACUGGGCGCAAAGGGCGCGUAGGCGGCGAUCAAAGUCAGGCGUGAAAUUCCUGGGCUCAACCUGGGGGCUGCGCUUGAUACUUGGUUGCUUGAGUGGGGAAGAGGGUCGUGGAAUUCCCAGUGUAGAGGUGAAAUUCGUAGAUAUUGGGAAGAACACCGGUGGCGAAGGCGGCGACCUGGUCCUUGACUGACGCUGAGGCGCGAAAGCGUGGGGAGCAAACAGGAUUAGAUACCCCCGUAGUCCCUGUCUCUUAUAC
rnacentral:rRNA from 1 species